CAUGGCUGAUUGUAUACAGGGCUUGU
rnacentral:piRNA from 1 species